rnacentral:lncRNA from 1 species
AAGGGGGAGAUUGUUAAGUCUUAUGUGUUGGCAAGUUUCGUAAAUUGAGUCGGAGUCUUGAAGGAUCGGAGUGGAUUGUAGAAGAUCGAAGAAUCCAAGACUUUGAAGAAAGCGGAAAUAACUCACCGCAUGAAUCACGAUGCUAAGGUAAGGUUUUAAUUCAUGGUAUGGUGAUUCAUACUUAGUUAUAGAUAUUAGAAUCAUGAAAAUUA